UUUGACCUGAAAUCAGGUAGGGCUACCCGCUGAA
rnacentral:rRNA from 1 species